CGUGGGCCGCGGGGCGGGGCCAGGGCGGGUGCGCGGCGGCGGCGGGGUGGCUGGGCCGGCGGCGGCGGCGGUACGAGGCGCGCGCUCGGGGUCCCGGUCGCGAGGAGGAGGAGGAUGUGGCGCGCGGAGGGGAAAUGGCUGCCGAAAACAAGCCGGAAGAGCGUUUCCCAAAGUGUAUUCUGCGGAACUAGCACCUACUGUGUUCUCAACACCGUGCCACCUAUAGAAGAUGAUCAUGGGAACAGCAAUAGUAGUCAUGUAAAAAUCUUUUUACCGAAAAAGCUGCUUGAAUGUCUGCCGAAAUGUUCAAGUUUACCCAAAGAGAGGCACCGCUGGAACACUAACGAGAGAUCAUGAUGCAGCCGCCCUUUUGGAUUUCUUUUUAAUAAUGUGUGACCCUUCACCUUUGAUCCCCUGACCUGCAUUACCUUGGGUUGUUGGGAGGAUAAAUGAAACACACUGAGAACUCAGAAGAAAGGUGCUUUUGAAACUGAACCUCAUCCUAUGGCUGUGCCAAGAGGCAGUGGUAGUGAACCCCGUGGUGAAGGGCCAGGACCAUGGCUGUGGAGCCAGGCUGCUGAGGUUCGAAUCCCACCUUGGCCUCUUGCAAGUGUUCUGACUGCAGCACAUUAUGUAGUCGCCCCAUUCCUGAGUUUACUGCCUCUUUAAAUGGGGUGACAGUGGUAGCGCCCACUCCCAGGAUCGUGGUGAGUCCUAGCUGCUGAGGGGUCUGUAGAGCAGCUCCAAGUGCAGUGUGGGCUGAUCACCUGCUGCGCACCUCAGGCAAGCGGGCUCCAGCCCUCCUCCUCAGUCCUAGCAGAAGACCCAGACAUGGUGAGUAAGCUCGGGCGGAGCUCCAGACCUCCUCCCCUCAGGGCUCAGCUUCCAGGAGGCCUCACCUACUUCCUCACCUACCACUGCCACUUUUUUUUUAAAGGUUCUUUUGUUUACCUGUUUUGGACUUUAGAGCCGAAAGAAAGAAGAGUAAAGAGAGAGGCAGUCACCGUUUGCCUGGUUAGCUGGACUCGCCCUUCACCCUCCCUUGGUAAGGCUAGCAAACUGGGAGUCAGGGUGUUGAGCUGCUCAGGGUUCUUCUCAACUGCAGAGGUCGUCAGUGUCCUCUUCAGUCAAGGGAAAUGACCUCACUGCCACCAUGUGUGAGGAUAUGGAUCAGGUGUUCUCCCCAGUACUGUGUACGCACACAUUUGAGUCACCAGAUUUACCCAGGAGGUGGGGGGCCUGCAGAGUGUGCCGCUGCAGCUCAGGUCUUCACACUCCCCAGGCCCCUGGCCCGCUGCUCUAGAGCUGCCAUGGGCGCAGCUUUCACUGACACUCGCAGCCUGGCACAAGACAGUAUUGCCAUUUUGGCUGCAGGGCCUCAGCUGGAUUCAUUCUCCUCCCUCAGUCACCAGACAGUAGCAGGACUGCCCUGAGCUUAGUAAGGCCUCUCUGGGAAUGGUGGUUUCCUCAGUCCUGGCUGUGUGUUGAGAGUCCCUUGCAUAGUUAAAAACUUAGAUCAAUGGUCGAUCUUUUUCUAGCUGAGAACCACUGAUCCAAAAUCUUGGAAGUUAAUUUAUAAAGAAAGAAAAAACAGGUAAAUGAUUUGCACACAUGUAAAUGUGUCUUUCUGGACUCAGUGCUGUUACUUCCAGAGCAGAUUACACUGCAAACUAAAAUGGUCUCCCCCCUUGUUCAGCCAUCACUAGCCAGUACCCAAAGCCCCUGUCACUGUUCUGCACAACAGUCCUGAGUGAGAAGCCGUCACAAAGCCAGGUUUGUGCUUACGUUCUGGGGUUUCUGAAGUAGAGGUCUCUGGUUUCAUCUCUGUUGCUAUGAUAUAAAACCAGAGACCUUACAGAAAGCAACUUAGGGGAGAGAGGGGUUUAUGUCAUCUUAAAACUUCUAACUGUAGUCCGACAUGGGGAAUCCCAGUGGAGCUUGGCCACCUAAUCACAUCAGGUCCUCACCGGAGCUAAGAACAGCAAACACACAGGACCCAGUGCUUGGCCAGGGCUCUGUGCUUAGAGUCAGGGAAUGAGCUGCCCGCUCGCAGGCUGGGUCUCUUCAUGUUAAUUAAGGUAUCAAGACUAUCCCUGACCAUCUACCCACAAGACGACCUGGUCUCCACAGUUCUCUGUUGAGACCGUCUUCAAGCACCACAAGUGCCAUUCUUCCUUCCUCUUUCUGCCACCUUUCUUUCCUCUCAUGUCUUGUACAUUUAAUUUUCCUUUUCUCCUUUCUCCCUCCAUAGCUCUGCACUGUGCCCUCCCUCCCCCAAUAAAUCCCUGAUGUUUACAGUGUAUCUAUCAGCCCAAUGUAGUAUAUUUACAAAUCCUCCAGGGGUCCCAGCACAUAGUAGAUGUUCCAGUGGACUUUUAAAAGUAUGUUUUAGUAUGUCUUUCUUAAAAAGGAGUAGGUGGCACCCUUCACUAGCCUGGGUAUCAUUAGACUGUGUUUGUGGUCAGCCAUCCUAAUUUCAUUCAUUGAGGACUUUGGUAAUUUGCCACAUGGGCUUUAUUCAGUAGGCUGAGAAACGCCACGCUUUAAGUCACCAAGCAGUGCCGCUCAGGCACUAGGAUAAGGAUAAGCUGGCGUUGUCGUGGAGUCUUCUUACUUUGGCUUCCACAAAGCUGCUCUGUAAGCUUUUGAAUGGUAAGGGAGAUGAUCGCCCAUACUGAACCCCUGGAUUUUGGCAAUGAGGAAUCUGCUCCAGAGUGGGAAAGGCCUUCACCCCCACAGCCUCUUCUGCUGCCACACCAGUGCUGUGUUAGGGUGGAGUGGCAAACAUGGCAGACAGCACAGAAGCUUGCCAUUUACUGCCUGCCUCCAGCAGUGUUGGUGCAGAGUUGGAGUAAUUAAUCUUCCUCUUUCCCUCUGCAAGAGCCAGUGACAUAGGUCAGGGUGAUUCUGAGGGGGCAGAGGCCUUAGUCUGGCAUGUGGUAGCACUGUAAGUCCCUAGAGCUGAGUCUUUUGGCCUAGGUGCCACCUGGUGACCUUUGGGGCCCUCCUGACAGCCUCCGCCCUUGUGGCUGUGGGACGUGCUCUGUGUCAUUCCCACAAAGGUCUGCCUAAGCUGAAGAGUGCUGAUAAAGAAGAUGGACUUAGACCUAGGGGGACGUCUUGGAAACAGCGGCAGCUUGCAGUUCUCAGCCCUAGUUACCGACUCCACCAGAAGAUAGUGGCUAUAGUUCCGUGGGAGUGGCUGACCCUUUACUUCCAGUCCUUUUCCUUCUCCUGUGCAGAUUCUGUUUCUCAAUCCUUCAUCUUUCCAGAGAUGGUGCCAAGAGGACGAGUCGAGGAACAGGUGAAAUUCUUGGCCCUGGUCUUGGCCCUGGGUCUUGCCUGCUGUGCUCUGGUUCCCCUUGGGCCCCUGGCACACGUUCCUGCACAUAGUAGACACUCAGUGAAUGCUAGCUCUUCAUUUCUCAUUAGUGCAGGUAAUUAAGAGCAGGAGCUGAUAGACCGCACGUAUCUGUGCAGAGAUAUAUCUGUAAUUAAAGUUUUAAUUAAAGAAAUACCAGACCAGGCAGAUGGUUCUUAUCCCCGCAUCCUGUAAACCUAAGAGCUGUAUCGUCGUGAUCCUGCAGACAAAGGCAAGAGUAGCCGCCUCCAUGGUGGUGCUGAAGGGGAGAGGGAGUCUCACUAGCUGGCCGUAAUCUAAUUUUGGUAGCACUCUAUGUGAUGACACAUCUGGGGGUAAUCAUUGCAGUCUGAUAUGGAAAGACAAUACAUCAAAGGGACGUCCUGACCAAAGCUUUUAAGCCUCCAGUCAAGGGCAUUCCCGCGCCCAGCUGGUAGAUCACAGGCGUGUGGUUUUGUGCUGGGCUACAGAAGCUGACAGAGCGUUAUUUAGGACCAUCAGCUAAAUGCAGUUAAAGGAGCACCGCAUGCUGGUGCUUCAGGUGCUGCCACAGUACAGCCGUGCAGAACUGAAAUGUGACCUGGGCUGCCUGCCUCACAGCAGGCCUUUGCUAUGUCAUGGGGACCUUAAUGAUUUACAACACACAACCACCACAAAGGCUAACAGAAAGGACCUCUCCAGAUCUUACUACUACCCAGGACCUCCUAGUGACCUCCAUCCACUCCCAUGACCAUCACAGGAAGCCAGAGCAGUACAGGGAAAUGGGCGGGUCUUGCAUGGGACUUGUGGCAUCUCACCGUGGUCUCUUGGGCCAGUGCAGAGUCACUCAGUCUGGCCCCAGGGCUGAAGGCAUCGGUGCAGGUGUGGCAGCUCUACACAGCACUGCUCCACGGGUGCCUUGUUGGCCGCUGUGCGGCACCAGCCCUGGAGACGUGUGCUUCACAGGCUUAGCUUUGAGGUUAGAAGCCUAAUCCUGCCUUUGCUGAGCACUGGGUCACUUCCCCUCUGCCAUCCCUUCUGUAUGGCUUCCCUAGAGAGAGUGUGUAUUAUCCCAGGAUCUGACUUAACCUAGCAGUGCCCUGUAUAAACAGCUGCCAUUAGCCUGGGAGAAUGUAUGUGUGUAGAUUUGAGACAGGCUGGACCCACAGCACCUGGGAUGUCCUUUGAACAGGGUGUUGGUCUCAGGGCUGGUGGGACAUCUGUCCCCUCUGCCUGGGAGACUUCAGUAUCUGGUGAGCUGCGCUGUGGUGUUUGUUCAGAUCAUGGUAGUAGCCAGAAAGGGUUACAUGUCCUGUGCCGGACAGUGCUCGUGAUUUCAGCCAGCUCUGUACGUCUGUGAAUUUGAACCUGGCAUACUAAACAACAGCUUUUUAAAAUUUUUUCAACAUAGAGUUUAAGGUUGUAGGCGGCUUCCAGCUUACAAAGUUAGACUCCUGCUGCUUGGAAAGUGGUGCUUGUGUCUUGCUUCAAGGUAGCAAAGACACUCAUUCCUUCAGGGAGGGACAGCAUCUGCAAAACUACCCGAAAUGGCAUGCUUUUUGCUUUUUUUAUUUAUUAUUUAAGUCGGUGGAUAAAAUCUCACUCCUUGAUCCAAUGUACCCAUGCCCUCCCUGCCUUUGCUUCCUGAGUGCUGGGAUUACAGGCGUGAGCCAAGUCCCACGCUGAGUGAUUGGGAGAAACCGCGUGUAUCCUUCUGACAGCGCCAAAGUGAUUGGUGCCCGACACUUACUCCUUGUUCCAGUUAUCAGAUGUCUAGCCCAGGACUGCUGAGGCACUGAAUAGAGCAGUCAGACAAGCCACACUUUUCCUCUUGAAGACAUUUGCUGGUUGGGGAAAAGCAACAAAAAACAAAAACAAAAACAAAAAACAGGUACCAGUAAGGAGGGUCUGUAUGUAUUGGUUCUCCAUGUACUAACUCACAGCCAUGGUCUAUCCCGCUCUCUUCCCAGAUCCAUAGGUGAGGAAACCAGGGUACUGCAGAGCUGACCUCACCAGAGUAAGCAGUACUGUUGACGUUGGAACCUAGGUGUUGUGACUCCAGGUUUAGUGUUAAUAAAUCUGUGUGACCCGUUUAUUUCUAAUGAUAAGUGGCAACAGGCUGAUGCACUGAGGUGGCCCCAGGCUCUGAGAGUGCUCUUGUCACACUCAUUUAGGUAUGACUUGAGCAUGUGCCUCCCAUUAGUUGUUAUGGCAUAGUAAGCCACAUAGGUUGGAAUGAGGGCAUCCCAAGUAGGUGGGACAGCCCAAAGCAGAGGCCCCAAGAUGUGUGCAGGGCUAACCAUGGUGAAAGAGGUGAGGACGACAGCUGUGGUGAGAACAGAUAAGGACCUAGCACCACAGGCCUGGUCAGGCACUAGUAGUAGCAUCCUGGAGGCUUUGCUGGUCAUUGGUAAAGAAUUUUUUGAGGCAGGGUCUAACCUAUGUAGUCGACGCUGCCUGCAACUUAGUAUAGCCCCAAGCUGGCAUCAAAUGCUCCAUUCUCUUGCCGCAGCUUCCUGGUUGCUGGAUUACGGGUGUGUAGUACUGUACCUGGCUAAGGCCUUUUGAUUUUUGCUAAAUGAGGAGACGCCACCCCACCCCCUUUUUUUAAAGUAGAAGAAAAACAGGAAGAGGACCCUUUAAGGUCCAGGGAGACGACUAAGUGGGCAAAACACUUGCUAUACAUACAAGCCAGAAGACCUGGAUCUAGCUGGAUUCUUCAUAACUCCAGGGAGGUGGUGGGUCGGGCAGAUCCCUGGGGCUCAUACUGGCUAGGUGGUGUAACUGAAAAAGUGAACUCCAUGUGUAGGGAGAGGGCCUAUCUCAAAAAGCACCUGAUGUCAGGCUCGAGCCUCUGCCUGCCCAUGCAUGAGUGGUUGCACCCCCACAGGGGUACAAGUAAAAAGAUACACCCCCGACCAUAGGGCAGGGUCAGUAUACAGUAUCCCACUACUCACUUGGUACAGCCAACAAGCUCAGAAUGUCAUUUACAUUUGAGUGAUGCUCUCCCACAUCACAGUUCAGAUUUAGUUGUAGUUCUGUGGGGAGAGAGCCCCAAUACCUCAUGCAUCUGUCUCAGCCACACAGUGACCAGCAGGGCCGCUCUCACUCAGGGAGGACUGUCAGAGGCCAUGUUGGAACUCUGUAGCCCAGUCCAGCAGUCUGGGUAGCUGCCUCAGGCCCUUUGUAGAAAGCUCUGCUACUCAUUGACUUCAGGAGAUUGGAAGCAGGCAGCCCAGUAAAGGGGAAACUGAGCGUGGCUUAGACAGAGUCGGGAGUAACUGGGUGUGAGGAGCUUUUCAGCGAGAGCUAAUAUAUGAGAUUCUCGUGGAGUUGUGAUGUCAACAUUGAGCCCAGAGAAGCUGGAAGAAUGCAGUUCCUUGAACUAAGAAGACUGUGGGAAUGGCAGGGGAGGAAGAGGGACAAGGAGAGUACCUAAGGCGUGAUUUGGACAAAUCUGCUUUCAAAGCUAGCUGCUGUAGGUGUUUGAUGCACAGCCAUGUGUCUGUCUAACUCAGAGGAGAGGCCUUGGUUAGACCUACACAUUGGAGCAGUGUUUGCAUUACUGUGCUGCCUGCAAGUGAGGAGACUGGAGUGGGGAGUGCUACAGGGGAACCAUGGAAGGACAGGUCUGAGCAUGCGCGGAGCCACCCAGUGUUAUGGAGAAAGAGGGAGUGCAAAGAAACAAGCAGAGAAAGUAUACAAGAAGACCUCAGAAACAGUGUGGUCAUCUGUCAAGAUUGUAAGGUUCAAGCAGGACACCACUGAGGAGGCACUGGUGGCAGUGUGGGUUAGGACUUGUUAAGAGCUAUGAGGAAAACCCCAGAACCAGCAGUUCCAGAUGAAAAUAAGAGGGUAGAAAGUUGAUUAUUAGUUUUGGGGUUUAAGUUUUAGGAGCUAAGCAAGCGCAGGCCAGGCCAGGACCGGAGUAGCACAUGAAUUAACCUGAGACAGGGCUGCUGUGAGUUGUGUUCAGUGAAGGAGCUGAGUGCUCUACAGCUCUACACCAUACAUACACGUAUGGUGCUGGGCCGAGAGCCGGAGAGAGGGGAGCAGGCAGCAGUCGGCAGUGCUGGAGUUCCAUGGUGCUCAGAGUGGUUCUUGAAGCUGGGACUUGGAAGGGGCAGCAAUGGUGCUCAUUUAUAGACUGUGCUCCAGUAGUGUCAAGGGAGCUGCUUCAGUGACAUCAGAGUAAGCUUUAAUGGAUGGCACUGUUUCACCCGGUGUGAUGUCUGUGAACAGGUGUUUUAAAGGCCCUGUUUGAGCUUCUGCUGUGGGCUGAGUCUGAGCAUCUGUAUGAUCUGAGGGCUGGUCUUCCCCACUGAAAUUCUGGGGUCAGAGUUUCUCAUAGUAACACCAGAGACACACGCCAUAAUUCUGAAGGCUUUCUCACUCGACGGCUUUCUGGUGCCCUCUGUGUGCUUUCACUCAGAGGAGUCCUUUCCUGGAGCGGCUGAUAAAGGUGUUGCCCUUGUGAGUGUUUCAGACAGCUCUCCCGAGGAGAGAGUAGCCUUUACAGUCUCGUCUCUAUCUCCAUGUAUCUUUAGAUGCUGGUCUUUAUUUUGGCGUAAUCCUCAAAUCCCUCGAAUUCUGUUAGUAAUACUUAGCUCAACAGUCUUGAAGGCGUCUGAAUCCCCACAGACGCCGGCUUUUUGGCAGCUCCAGGGCAUUUCUGUGUGGUACAGACAGCAGCGUGCAUGCUCUUCGUCCUCUCUGGGCCUCUUGACAAGGCCCAGGCCAGCCUUCGGCACGAGGCCUGAGCACUGUAUAGUUGGCGUCGCACGUUGCACAAACUGGUGUAUUGGUGUAUCUGUGUUGCUUUGACCCACAUUGAGUCUUUGAAGAUUGAUAAAAAUCGAUUCAGUCUAGAAACUAUUCUUCAGUGCUAAAAGCUGGGAAGAGGUGAGGCCCGUCUGCAGGACUUGGUUCACUGUUGUUGGUUUUCAUUCCAGUGGGAAUGCAGACUUAGGCUGAGCCCCAGGAGAAAACCGGAUGGACCGAGUCCACCCCUUAUCAACUCUAAGGUUACCUUAGACUUCCUUUUGUUUUUUCCUCUACAAUGUUAAGACUGACUAGGAAUUCCUGUCAAGAUCUUCUGAGCACGGAAUUUAGGAAGAGCCCAUUUUGAGCCCUGUGUGUUAUGUGGUCUUUUAGUAGCAGUUGGUGUGAAAGGAGAGUGAGGGCAUUCUGGCAGAGAACUGUUGUAUUCCAAAUGUAUUCUUACAUUAAAAAAAAGCUCAAGAAACAUAUGUUAGAAAUAAUGAAACUUAACUCAUACAUCAGCUCUCUCAGACCCUCUUUACCCUAAAGAGAGAGUGAGGGGAAGGGCGAGGCUGGCAGGAGCUGUUGGGAACAGAAGGUAGGAGAUGGCGCUGAUGGCUGGCUCAGCUCACGGCAGCUUGUUCAGUUUCCCUCACCACUGAGGGCUCUGCUCGCUCGUAGACUCAUCUCUUCAACCCGUAAAGUUUGAAGGGAAGUAGACUUUAGUGGGCAGGCCCCGCAGAAGAAGGGGUGCCUUCUCUGUCACUUGGAAGUCAGGGGCCAUGGAAGAGAACCAGAGGCUCAGAUUUGAAAGCCAGUGUUAGCACAGUUACUAACCGGUGUGCACGGAAUCGAAGUCUUACUGAAAGUGAGCUCGGUUUGUCUGGACUGGGAAGUGAGUGAUCCUUGUUCACUGUCUUUAAUGUAGGUCUGGGGUACUAGAAUGCUUAAAACACAAAGGAAUCCAGGGGUAACAUUUAAACUUGUCAUUUACUUAUUUUAAAAACUUGCUGGUGUUUGCUCUUCCUUAGGCAGGUGCCUGCCUGUCCCUUGUCUUCAUCAGAGAGUCCACGCACACAUCUAACAACCAAACUCACAGCCCUGGUCCCUGACAGUGUGUCCCCACCCAGCGGGACCUUGUUUGUCUCUUGAAUCCCACCCCCACCCCACCCCUUUCUGGCCUCUGUUUGCUUUGCCAGUCCAACCCUCCUCCUCCUCAGCCCAACCCUCCUCCUCCUCAGCCCAAUCCUCCUCCUCCUCAGCCCAACCCUCCUCCUCCUCAGUCCAACCCUCCUCCUCCUCCUCAGCCUCUACAGGCCAGCUGGGGUCCCUUCUCAUACAGCCUUUCUCUGGCUUUGUUCAGUACAGUUGACUCCAGUUCACUGUUGUUGCAGGUGUGGCCCCAUUGUGAGGCCCUUGCCACAGUGUGUGGUCACACACAAUCUCUUUCAUGCAGUGUUAGCUCUGGAGUGGGUGCUGGGUCUCUCUCUUCUGUGUGCCAGCCCCAGCAUGUGGUGAGAGAAGGAAUUAGGGUGGGGGUGGGCGAGACGAUGGGGUGAGGUCCCUUGGGUUAAAGAAGAGAAGAAUAGGGCUGGAGAGAUGGCUCAGCAGUUAAGAGCACUGACUGCUCUUCCAGAGGACCUGAGUUCAAAUCCCAGCAACCACAUGGUGGCUUACAACCAUCUGUAAUGAGAUCUGAUGCCCUCUUCGGGUAUGGAUGAAGACAGCUACAGUAUACUUACAUAUAAAUAAAUAAAUCUUUUUUAAAAAAAAAAGAAGAGAAGAAUAAAUGCUGUUUUUGUUUAUGCAGGUCUUAAGAUUUUGGUAGCAGAGAACAAAUGAGCAGAGAGCAGUGGAAACAAGUCAGAAGCUGCUGUCUGGUCCCAGUGUGUGCACAUGUGGUUUAUGUUGAAAUCUUCAGUUUAUUCUGAUAGCUCAAGUUGCUAAUUUAGUUGAUAACACCUGGGGAAAUAGUCAGGAGGACUUUGACGUGCUGAAUGCCAAGGGUGGACCCUCUUCAUACUCAGGCCUGUGUUGCAUUGAGCAUGGCCUGGUGCUGUGGCCUGGACUCCCUCAACACAGCCCUGCAUACCCUGUGCAGAUGUGAGAGCUGAGAGGCAGCCAAGAGCCUUUCACUCCUGUGCACUCGUCUCAUGGCUCUGAGCCUAGUGUUCCCCUCCCAGCCUGCCGCACAGUGCUUCCCACAGUAGCUCCUAAGUGAGGGAAUUAGAGGUCUCUGAGGCUUCCCUUCUGUACUUUUCUGCUUUGGGGUAGAUGCAGGGUCACAGUGGACGUCACUGGCAGUGUGUUAAGACCUUACAUUGAUUCGGAAGUGUCCUUGACUAAGCAUCCCUUUGAAAUGCUGUAUUCUCUAACCUGGGAGACUGGCCUGUGGUGCUGACUUGGAAGUGCUGGGAGUUAAGUCGGCUUUCUCAGUGCUGUGCGUCACAGACACCCUAGCAAGGCAGCCUUGCAAAGUAGUGUCUGCUCUAUCAAUAUGUCCGUAGACAUGUUAAUCUGAAUGGCCUCCCUAGGAUGCCAUGUCAGAAAACAGCAAAGACUGCAGGAGCGUGCUGAGUGUGUAAGUAACAAAUUCUUGUGAAAUUAGUGCUAAUUGAGCUUUGGACCUCAUCUCAGUACCUUUGAACUUUUAAUUCUUAAUUUGAUUCAUUGAAAGUUUUGUGGUCUCCCAGAGAUAUAAUUUAAUAAAAGUUAUACUGUAACAUUGUCAAAAAGACAUUUCUAUAAGGCCCAAUUUUGAAUUGUUUUAGGGAAAUAGAUAACGUGUGGGGUAGAGACACAUGUACACAUGCACACUCACACGUGUUAAAGUGGACUUUAGAGACACAUGUACACAUGCACAUUCAAAUGUGUUAAAUAGACUUUAGUUGGCCUUUAUCCCGUGUUCUCUUCUUUCUCUGCCCUGGAAGUGGGACACAUUUUCUUCAGUUAAAAACAGAAAUAGAAGCGACGGUCUUGACCCAUUUCACACCUGUUUAUUUCAGGCUCUCACCACACACUUUUCAUGGGCGCAGCAAGAAGAGGGCCCCCCAGAGCUGGAGCCAUGGGGCUGACACUUGGGGAGGAAGCCACCUGCCCACCGCCCGUCCUGCCAGCUCCCUCAGGAUGGCCCUGUUAGGGAAUGAGCUGUGCUUUAAACCCUAAGUGUAUCUGACCCGGAUGUUACUGAAGGUGAAAUAAAUUCGAGGGAACUAUUCUCACUUCAUCCACAGUGACUGAAAGAGUGCAACAGACACUUGUCUGGGGGAGCAGCCUGCACCAGGAGUGCCCUGUGUCCCCCUUGCCCCAGCACAUUUCCCUUUUCUUACUAGCACUCACCUGGCAAUGACCUGUUGUGAUGACCACUGCCUCUCAGAAGAAUGGAAGCUCCUUGAGAGCAGGGUCUGUUGCUGUCUCUGUCUCCAGCACACAGGACGACUUCUCCUACAUCAAUAAAUGCUGUUCAGUGAACAGGG